UCCGUAGGUGGAUAAUUAAGUCAGAGGUGAAAUCCUGCAGCUCAACUGUAGAAUUGCCUUUGAUACUGGUUAUCUUGAGUCAUUAUGAAGUGGUUAGAAUGUGUAGUGUAGCGGUGAAAUGCAUAGAUAUUACACAGAAUACCGAUUGCGAAGGCAGAUCACUAAUAAUGUACUGACACUGAUGGACAAAAGCGUGGGGAGCGAACAGGAUUAGAUACCCUGGUAGUCC
rnacentral:rRNA from 1 species